GCAGUGAGCCAUGCCAAUGUGGUUUGGCUGGACUGUGAGUGCUUGAUGCAGUCUGAUAGGAGGAUGGGGGUGGCGCAGAGAACAUUGAAAUCAGAAAGGAUUCUGCUCUGUAGAGACAAAGGAAACACAGAGACAUAGACAUGGAUCUGGGAAAUACACCUUUUGCUACUCGUUCAGUUUUAGCAAGGAGGUUUCUUGCAUGGCUAAGCAAAACUUAAACUUCCUCUGAGAAUUACAGGAAUUACAGGACCUGACAAAGCUAUGAAGAUUAAAACCUAUAGGAAGAAAAUCUGAACCAGAAACAGUAUGGCAGAAUUGGGAUCUGACUCACAGAGGGAAGAACUUAUAAUUCUUCACAGACGCCUAAAUACCUGACGUGUGACAGCAAAUGCCUGUUCCCAUGGAGCUGCUGCUUCUGAGAAAGCUUGAAACAGACAAAGAAUAAGGUAGAAAUGACCUCCUCACUAGAGAUGAAAAGAAGCUGUCCUGGUGAGGAAAUUGGAUCCCAGCUUUUGCCGCUAAGAUUCUUCUCUUCUGCCUCUGGUUUUCUUUAUUGUUCACCCCCAGAAGCAAUCGCUCUCUCACAAGGCAACACACGCAAUAGAGUGAACAGUGAUUCUACAGUCUGAUUCUGGAAAAGGCGACCACAGUGGAAAGAGUGAUCCACACAAGUAUAGGGCCUCCUGAUUAAAACACUAAGAUUUCAUCUCACGCUGUGCCUUUAUACUGUUGAGAUACUAAAGAGGACACUAAAGAUCAAAGUGCUACUUUACAACAUUUUGAAGAAAACAACUGCUACCUGUGUAUUAGUUUGUGCAGAUGUGUUACACAGCUUAGCUGUGUCUGUACCAGUUUAUUAGAAUCAAAGUAUUUUUAAAGUACCUAAGGCCAGGCACAGUGGCUCACACCUGUAAUCCCAGCACUUUGGGAGGCUGAGGCAAGUGGAUCACUUGAGAUCAGGAAUUCAAGACCAGCCUGGCCAACAUGGUGAAACCCCAUCUCUACUAAAAAUACAAAAAUUAGCCAGG
rnacentral:lncRNA from 1 species